AAAGCUAGGGAGUGAAUAGGAUUAGAUACCCUAGUAGUCCUAGCCGUAAACAAUGGAUACUAGGUGUUGUGCGUAUCGACCCGUGCAAUGUUGUAGCUAACGCGUUAAGUAUCC
rfam:Cajanus cajan CcLG10_934, whole genome shotgun sequence.